rnacentral:rRNA from 1 species
CAACUUUCAACAACGGAUCUCUUGGUUCUGGCAUCGAUGAAGAACGCAGCGAAAUGCGAUAAGUAAUGUGAAUUGCAGAAUUCAGUGAAUCAUCGAAUCUUUGAACGCACAUUGCGCCCCUCGGUAUUCCGGGGGGCAUGCCUGUCCGAGCGUCAUUA